rnacentral:lncRNA from 7 species
GGACUUAUCUCAACCUACAAAUUUCACUUUUUUAUUUCCUUCAAAUCUCUUCCCUAUCCCACUGUUCUUAUACUGAAAAUUUAACUACCACAACACUUGCUCGUGGCAAUGUGUUUAUUAAUAAAUAAAUAUAUAUUUAUUGGAGAUGAAGUGGAAAAGAAGCAGCAGGCAGUGAAAUAUAUAUCAGCCAUAAUUUACCUCUGAGAGCUGAGCUGUAGCUGUGACAUGCUAUGGAAAAUGGCUGCAGAUUGGGAAGGAGGAAGUCUGAGAUAAUGAUACCCUGCAAGUGACUUCUUUGACAUACGUUUGUGUAUGACAAAUGUGACAAUCAGUAAGCAUACAGUAAAGGGCUUGGGAAUCAUCUGUAAUGUCUGUCAUUUUUCUCUAGGAAACCAUACAAUAUUUUAUUUGCAGUGAUAAUAAUUAAUAUUUAUACACAGCCUAAGUAAAACUAAGAUUUUGUUUGUUUGUUUUUUGUUGUUGUUUGUUUUUUUUGUUUGUUUUUUUGUUAUGCUCUGAAAUUAAGUUGAUUUCUUACUCGAAAAGUUGAUUGAAUAUAUGGAAAAAUCUUAUUUCUUUUAUGCCUGCUUCUCACAUGCUAUAUAUAUGUAUGACCUGGAUAAAAAUAGUAAGUAUAGAUAUAGUUUUUAUCAUUUAAGUCUGUUCAGCACCUCCCAGAGAUAAGAAACAUUUGUCACAUUUUGAAGGGGUUUUCAUUGACAAAGGCUUCAAUCAUGCAGAAAGCUGUUUUCAAAUUUCCAUAAAACAAAGCAUACACCAUUUACAUGAUAAAUUGCUCCUAGACAAGAAUCUUAGCUGACUACCCAAGUGCUUGAUUGUGUUAUCACUGAUUUGUCCUUCAGUUUUCAGCAGAAUGAAAAUGAAGGACUUGCAACUAAUUGUGCCAGGAAAACAGAGCUAAUUUACUCACUGUGCC